rnacentral:misc_RNA from 1 species
UCGCAUGCAUCACACUUGUAGGAUGGGGUUGUGAGCAAAAUUAGAGAGCAUGAAUGAAAGAAAUGUUGAUCAAUCUUUCGGGGUAACCUGUCCAUGCAAGAUUUAUGGAAGCAAAGUUUGCAGCGAAAACAGAAAAAGCAGGUAGCAUCUGAGAAGGGCUUUCCACAUAUUUUACAGGUAGAUUCAAAAUAAUUUUCCGAUGUCAUCUUGACCAGAAUCAAAGGAUGAUGGUGACUAAAAUGUUCAACCCGCUGCCAC